rnacentral:rRNA from 1 species
GGGGGCGUGCCUAACACAUGCAAGUCGAACGGAACUGUUUUGAAAGAUUUCUUCGGAAUGAAUUUGAUUUAGUUUAGUGGCGGACGGGUGAGUAACGCGUGAGUAACCUGCCUUCAAGAGGGGGAUAACAUUCUGAAAAGAAUGCUAAUACCGCAUGAUAUAUCGGAACCACAUGGUUUUGAUAUCAAAGAUUUUAUCGCUUGAAGAUGGACUCGCGUCCGAUUAGUUAGUUGGUGAGGUAACGGCUCACCAAGACCGCGAUCGGUAGCCGGACUGAGAGGUUGAACGGCCACAUUGGGACUGAGACACGGCCCAGACUCCUACGGGAGGCAGCAGUGGGGGAUAUUGCGCAAUGGGGGCAACCCUGACGCAGCAACGCCGCGUGAAGGAUGAAGGUUUUCGGAUUGUAAACUUCUUUUAUUAAGGACGAAAAAUGACGGUACUUAAUGAAUAAGCUCCGGCUAACUACGUGCCAGCAGCCGCGGUAAUACGUAGGGAGCAAGCGUUGUCCGGAUUUACUGGGUGUAAAGGGUGCGUAGGCGGCUUUGCAAGUCAGAUGUGAAAUCUAUGGGCUCAACCCAUAAACUGCAUUUGAAACUGUAGAGCUUGAGUGAAGUAGAGGCAGGCGGAAUUCCCCGUGUAACGGUGAAAUGCGUAGAGAUGGGGAGGAACACCAGUGGCGAAGGCGGCCUGCUGGGCUUUAACUGACGCUGAGGCACGAAAGCGUGGGUAGCAAACAGGGUUAGAUACCCUGGUAGUCCACGCUGUAA